rnacentral:rRNA from 1 species
GACAGAGGGUGCAAGCGUUGCUCGGAAUCACUGGGCGUAAAGCGCACGUAGGCGGAUCUUUAAGUCAGGGGUGAAAUCCCGGAGCUCAACUCCGGAACUGCCUUUGAUACUGGGGAUCUUGAGUUCGAGAGAGGUGAGUGGAACUGCGAGUGUAGAGGUGAAAUUCGUAGAUAUUCGCAAGAACACCAGUGGCGAAGGCGGCUCACUGGCUCGAUACUGACGCUGAGGUGCGAAAGCGUGGGGAGCAAACAGG